rnacentral:rRNA from 1 species
GAUGAACGCUGGCGGCGUGCCUAAUACAUGCAAGUCGAGCGAACAGACGAGGAGCUUGCUCCUCUGACGUUAGCGGCGGACGGGUGAGUAACACGUGGAUAACCUACCUAUAAGACUGGGAUAACUUCGGGAAACCGGAGCUAAUACCGGAUAAUAUAUUGAACCGCAUGGUUCAAUAGUGAAAGACGGUUUUGCUGUCACUUAUAGAUGGAUCCGCGCCGCAUUAGCUAGUUGGUAAGGUAACAGCUUACCAAGGCAACGAUGCGUAGCCGACCUGAGAGGGUGAUCGGCCGCCCUGGAACUGGGACACGGUCCAGACUCCUACGGGAGGCAGCAGUAGGGAAUCUUCCGCAAUGGGCGAAAGCCUGACGGAGCAACGGCGCGUGAGUGAUGAAGGUCUUCGGAUCGUAAAACUCUGUUAUUAGGGAAGAACAAAUGUGUAAGUAACUAUGCACGUCUUGACGGUACCUAAUCAGAAAGCCACGGCUAACUACGUG